GAUGAACGCUGGCGGCGUGCUUAACACAUGCAAGUCGAACGAUGAAGCCCAGCUUGCUGGGUGGAUUAGUGGCGAACGGGUGAGUAACACGUGAGUAACCUGCCCUUGACUCUGGGAUAAGCCUGGGAAACUGGGUCUAAUACUGGAUAUGACUUCUCAUCGCAUGGUGUGGGGUGGAAAGAUUUAUUGGUCUUGGAUGGACUCGCGGCCUAUCAGCUUGUUGGUGAGGUAAUGGCUCACCAAGGCGACGACGGGUAGCCGGCCUGAGAGGGUGACCGGCCACACUGGGACUGAGACACGGCCCAGACUCCUACGGGAGGCAGCAGUGGGGAAUAUUGCACAAUGGGCGCAAGCCUGAUGCAGCGACGCCGCGUGAGGGAUGACGGCCUUCGGGUUGUAAACCUCUUUCAGUAGGGAAGAAGCGAGAGUGACGGUACCUGCAGAAGAAGCGCCGGCUAACUACGUG
rnacentral:rRNA from 1 species